GACUAAAAUUCACUCAGACCAAUCGGAGUUCACGGUGAAACUUUGUAAACAACUGUCACACGCUAUUUUCAAGCGAGUGUGUUGUAUUUACUACGACAAGAUGCGACGGACCCACAGCCACAUGAGCCAAAACUACCAAAACAGGCAGGUACCCGAACAUUGAAACCAAACUCCACUCACAAGAGGAGUGAUGGGAUGAAAAGAAGCAGCACCAGAAGGACUGCUGUGGCCCCACAUAAGAGCUCAAGUCUGUGUCAGGCUCUUUCUUGGCACCCCUGAGUGACAUCAUGAACAUGGUUGAAAUGACCAGUCGACCUAUUACCGGACCAAGUUCUUACUGAUCCUUUCAGUGGGUCACGCUCAGGACUCAGCCCUCAGGAGGUGAACUCAGGUGUCUGUAAGGCGGGGAUUUACAUUUUCUCAGGACAGGCAGCCCGUGGAGAGAGGCCUGCUGGCAGAUCAAAGGCUCCGGCUGUAAAACGAUCUGAAAGAGUCCGGCAUUAGCAUCCAUCAGGGUACCUUGAAAGCUCCCUGGUCAGCCGAGAGGGAAGCUGAGGGCCCCCCAAAGUGAAAGCCCAGUCUGGAGAGGGGUGAUUGGGGGGGGGUAGAAUGGGAGUGGGGAGAGUGUGUGAGAGAGAGAGAGAGAGAGAGAGAGAGAGAGAGAGAGAGAGAGAAAGAUGAAUAGCAGGCUACUCGGCUAAAAACAUGAAGGAAAUAUUUCCAGGGAGGGAGGAAGAUUCCCAUAACAAGCUGCAAAUGUUUUUAUUUCUCUUUUGAAUUCAACUCCCCCCCCCCCAUCUCUUCCUUUAGCACUUCCUGUCUGUUUCUUCCUCUAUCUUUUUAAUUUCUUUUUACAGUGCUGAGACUGUAAGGGGAUAACAUCUCCAUCUGCACACCAUCUCCACUCAGCUCACCAAGCCCAGACUUUUACUACUCCACCCUGCAGUCUACACAUAGGGUCAUGUCUGGUCGGGGUCUUGGGGGAAGUGGAGGGAGGGGGAAGGGAGGGAGAGAGUGUGGGAGGAAGAGAAACCUGGAUUGGCUUCAUAUGUUGUAUUUCUUUACAUUGGAAUUGGAAGUGGGAGAAGUGUGGGGAUGGCAGGACUAUGGGGGCUGUAUGUGUGUGUUCUCUUCUUUUAUGCAAUAAGUGUGAUUCACAGUCUUGAAAUGGAUAGGUACCUAACAUGUGUGAUAGGAAUCAAGAUUAGACCUGCAUUCCUGGUGUGUUCCGGUGCCUCCACACUUGUGUCUUUUUCAAUAACAAAAGUAAGGCCAUGUUCGUCACAUAAAUCUUCAAGAAUAAGUCUGCAUCCUUCAGGCUGAUCCUGUGAUAGAAUUCCCUCAAGAAACAAGAUUUAUAGACACUGAGACCUGUGAACACUGAGCUCCUUUUUUCCUGGAAAGACUUUUAACUAUGUUGUGUAGUGAUUUUUUUCAAAUGUCUGCAGUUUCCAAAUUCCCAAACCUCCAGCAGACUCAGAACCACUGCUGACUAUGAACCUUUAAGCACAAACUUCCUCUGAGGACCUAUUCUGUACCACAAACACAGCACAAAGGUUUUGUCCAUGAAUGAUUGAUCUAUGAAUGAGACCAAAUUUUAGGGAAGUUGUGGUUCAGUCUUCCACAGCCUCCAUCAUUCAUUGGUCCUAGUCCAGUGCAAGUUAUGGAUGACUAGGAUUCCAGGAGGACAGUGUGAGAGGAUUUUGCAUGAAUAGAUUCUUUAGUAACAGUAAGAAAAAUACAGUUUUUUUGAAUGUUCUAGUCGAGUAUCCAUGGAAUUAUGGAAUUAUGUCCGUAUUGGUCAAUUCUGCACAGGUUUAUUGUUUGAAAUUGUUGAAACUGCUUUCGUUAGCAUUACUUUUGCAAAUUCCUUGUGAAAUCUCCACUGUGUGAAAAUUACUUCAUCUACACAGUCUCUUAGACUUUACUUAGUAUAACUUGAUAAUGUAACAUAUGAUCCUUUUAAAUGUAAAUCACAUGCAUGGAUCACUGGAGGAGGAGUCUUGAUCUGUAGAUGAAGUGAAGUAUGUUAUAAUGUAACAUAAUAAUGAUGGUGAACUCAUCUCACUCAAGAACUCAAGAGUUACACAGUCCAGUGUCAUACAACAUGUAAGUGUACAUGUACACAUUCACAUGCUCAUUAACAAAAUUUGAUGUUUACAUACCAAGGUCAACACACAUACUACUUCUAGAUUCAAACUACUUCCCACAUGGAUCACCUAAAAACACACAGACUGGUCAUGUGUCCCUCCAUGUGCAGCUUGCUGACAUGUGUGGAUCCUCCUGUGUGCAGGGCCAGGGCUGCAUGCCACUGUCUCAGCUUGGUAAUGGAUGUCCCGUCCCUGCACACACACACACACCCGCACACACGCACACAUGCGCACACACACACAUACACAGUGGCGCAGCUCAGCUCGUCCAUUCUGUCCACCCAAGGAUGAGUUCCUCCUCUGUUUAGGGAAGAGGAUGUGAUCUCACUCGUUAAAAAUCCAACCUAUGUCGCUUGCCACUCAUGACUUAAUCCAGGCUUCUCCUUUGUGCAGAGUUCCCCUUCUCCUCUUCUCUUACUUUUUCUUGCUCUCUCUGUGGCUUCCGAUCUCCCUCCCCUUCCUGUCUAUCAAUCUAUCUAUAUUUUUUUUUUCUUUUGUAUUAAUGAUGAAAGCCAAACAAUGCAUGUCUAAUCUAUUGUGGUCAUUCUAGGCCUUUGGGGUAUUAUUUGCUGUUUUUAGUAAGUCAUGUUUACGGCUGCAGACUCAUUGUAGUUGGUAAAUUUGUUGCUUGGUGUCUCCUCGGUUAUGCAAACCACAUGCAUGCAGGCCUUAACUGGAGGAUUGCAAAUUUGCCAAAAACAAAAAUGUAACCAAAUACACAUAUUUUCUCUCAUUGAUAUCAUCAUCAAUCAGAAAUAUUUCAUUGAGCAUUUUGAAAAUGUACAACUUUUACUUGAAUAAAUGGCAUUUUAAAAUAAGGCUCUGAAUGUUUCUGGCUUUUCCUUUGAAUGAAUUUUAUUGGUUCUUCUUUAGAAAUGAUACAAGUUAUGAGAUGAUGUAUCAGCUUUCAGCUGAGCCAUCAGCAUUGACGCUGCACCCAACCCAGCAGAGAGCGCAGCUGAGACUGUAGUCAACUUUAAGCCAUCUGCAUGGCUCUUGUUCUAUGUGAGAGAGAUGUGCAGGCAUUUGCAAUUUCAUAUAUGAAAGUGACCACAAGCACAAUCUUCAGCCAGGACUACUGUACAGGGCACCCUGUUAAUUAUUGGCUCAUUGAUCUGCAGUGCCACGAGCUGAUCAUUUCCGCCUCCUUCAGUAAGACUCCGACAACCUGAUAGCCAAGGUAUUUAUAAAGACAAAAAGACGAAGGAAGGAAGUAAUCAAACAAAACAUUUGCUGAGCAGUGGCUGCAUGUAGCCAUUGUCCAACAGACAGAGUGGCCUUCCUCUGUGCUUGCUGGGUUUUCACUUUAAUCCUCCACACCCACUGCAAUGUUGGAGAGCAGUCGUAUCUCCAUAAGCGGCAAGUACAAAUUACGUGUUCUAGACAGUGCAGAUACAGCAACAGAGAGAUGGUGCAUGGUUUGGAACAGGGAACAUGCUUAGCCCUUUAUUCUGUGUACAUGUUUCUGUGUGUGCAUGGCAGUUGGCAUAUGUGUGUAACUACAUGCUCAUAUACACUGAAAAGCAACAACAAUGAUGUACCACUGAGUGCUACCUUAACUAAAAGAUUGUGCAUCUGUUAUUGUUUUUAAGCCAUUUUAUGUGGGACUGUUGUUUCCAGUGCAACAUGUUGGUCUUUCUUUCCUGUUCAUAAACAUUCAUUUUAUGGCUCACAGAUGUACAUGCACUGAAACAUAUCUCUGUAUUGUCAUGAUGCUUCUCAUUAGGCUAUGUUAGAAAGUGGUCUACCAGAAUGACAGUGGAAGCAACAAGUGAACAUAUGGACUCUUUCUGAAAACCAAAUACAGUGGGCUGUUGACAGGCACGGUUAAACAGUGUUCCCUAAUCUGUGUCUUUCGUGGUCAAAGUGUACAGAAGUAGAAGACCAGCCAGCAGGUUUUUGAGGUAUUUUGCUUCAUUUUAUUUUACUUCUUGUGUACCUGUUGGCCACGCACUGGUAUUUCUGCUCACAGCUUUCUUGAUACUCGCUCAUCCAAACUAUUCACACUGACUGGUUAUCUGGUUAUCACAUAUUUAAUAUUAAAACUCAAAUUAAGUGAUGCCUUAGUAAGCUCCAUUGAGACAUGACUCUGGUCAUGAUGUAGUGUAGGACUACACCUGAGCGUUAGUUUUUCAUUGAAUGACGUAAUAAUGAUAUUUUUAUCUGUCAAAUAAUCUAACAGUUCAGCAGAUUGUUUUUUAUUACUUGAUUAAUAUAACAAUUUAUUUACCCAGAGAAGCCUCAAUAUAAAAAACAUAAUAUUUUAAUAUUUCUGUGCUGUAUCGAUCUUGUCAUGGCAGAUAAAGUAAACAGAAAAUCUAAAACAGACGAAGAACAAUGUUACAUACCAUAACAACAGAAAUUAGGCAACUUUUAACAUGAAGGAGGAGAUGUAUUGUUUAGCUUUUCUACACAGGUAGUCCUACUAUUUCUCUAAACUGUAGUACUGCUGUCUACUGUAAGCACUGUUUCACAGUCGGCUUUUCUCUGUUUUAGAGCACGCCAUUUGACUUUUCUUUGACUCAUUUAUUUCUCCAGUUGCUAGUCUCUUGUCUCGUCAUGAGUGCAUCACACUCAGUGAGUUAAGUCAAGGCCUGAAACCCCAACCUUGCUGCUGUACACACUGCUAUUUAUGUGAUUAAUCAAAGUCUGUUGGUAAUGAAUGUGUCACGUGUCCGAACUGGACCAAAUUCAACGCUGCAUGUCACUGGGUCCCCAGUAAUACACCCACCAGGUGGGAAGUAGAUCAGAUUAAAGGUAUUUGAGCUAUUUGAAGGGCAUACAGAGAGACAGACAGAGAUUUCUGACUUUAUGUUAGAUGUCCAAACCAGCUGUGUGUGUGAUAUAUGUGUACAUGCACAUGUACAGUAUGUGUAUAUCUGUGUAUGUUUCACAUAUUCAUUGCAUGAUUUUGGAAGAAAGCUGACAUUGUGAUGUUCUUUUGUGUGAUAUAUAUCACAGUAUGAAAAGAUACAGUAUGUACAGAUAUGCAAUUAAUCAC